AUUGAACGCUGGCGGUAUGCUUAACACAUGCAAGUCGAACGGUAGCAGGCUUUCGGGCGCUGACGAGUGGCGGACGGGUUAGUAAUGCAUAGGAAUCUGCCUAUUAGUGGGGGACAACGUGGGGAGACUCACGCUAAUACCGCAUACGCCCUACGGGGGAAAGCGGGGGAUCUUCGGACCUCGCGCUAAUAGAUGAGCCUAUGUUGGAUUAGCUCGUUGGACGGGUAAAGGCCUACAAAGGCGACGAUCCAUUGCUGGUCUGAAAGGAUGAUCAGCCACACUGGGACUGAGACACGGCCCAGACUCCUACGGGAGGCAGCAGUGGGGAAUAUUGGACAAUGGGCGCAAGCCUGAUCCAGCAAUACCGCGUGUGUGAAGAAGGCCUGAGGGUUGUAAUGCACUUUCAAUGGGAAGGAAUACCUACCGGCCAAUACCCGGUAGACUGACAUUACCCAUACAAGAAGCACCGGCUAACUCCGUGCCAGCCGCCGCAGUAAAAC
rnacentral:rRNA from 1 species